rnacentral:rRNA from 1 species
CCUGGUUGAUCCUGCCAGUAACAUAUGCUUGUCUCAAAGAUUAAGCCAUGCACGUCUGAGUACGCACGGCUGGUACAGUGAAACUGCGAAUGGCUCAUUAAAUCAGUUACGGUUCCUUUGAUUGCUCCCAUCCAUUACUUGGAUAACUGUGGCAAUUCUAGAGCUAAUACAUGCAAAUGAGCACUGACCUUUGGGAAUGCGUGCAUUUAUCAGACCAAAAAACCCAACUAGCGGCGCCCGCGCCCCGGCGGCUUUGGUGACUCUAGAUAUCCUCGGGCCGAUCGCGCGCCCUUCACGACAAUGACGUCUCUUUCGAGUGUCUGCCCUAUCAACUUUUGAUGGUACUUUCUGUGCCUACCAUGGUUACCACGGGUGACGGGGAAUUAGGGUUCGAUUCCGGAGAGGGAGCCUGAGAAACGGCUACCACAUCCAAGGAAGGCAGCAGGCGCGCAAAUUACCCACUCCUGACACGGGGAGGUAGUGACGAGAAAUAACAAUACAGGACUCGUUCGAGGCCCUGUUAUUGGAAUGAGUAAGUGGGCAAGUCUGGUGCCAGCAGCCGCGGUAAUUCCAGCUCCAAUAGCGUAUAUUAAAGUUGCUGCAGUUAAAAAGCUCGUAGUUGGAUUUAGGGAUCGAACAGGCGGUCGGCCGCGAGGUGUGCACCGCCUGUCCCAGCCCCUGCCUGUCGGCGCCCCCUCGAUGCUCUUAGCUGAGUGUCCCGCGGGGUCCGAAGCGUUUACUUUGAAAAAAUUAGAGUGUUCAAAGCAGGCACGGUCGCCUGAAUACUGCAGCUAGGAAUAAUGGAAUAGGACUCCGGUUCUAUUUUGUGGGUUUCCGGAACUGGGGCCAUGAUUAAGAGGGACGGCCGGGGGCAUUCGUAUUGAACCGCUAGAGGAGAAAUUCUUGGACCGGCGCAAGACGGACGAAAGCGAAAGCAUUUGCCGAGAAUGUUUUCAUUAAUCAAGAACGAAAGUCGGAGGUUCGAAGACGAUCAAAUACAGUCGUAGUUCCGACCAUAAACGAUGCCAACUGGCGAUGCGGCGGCAUUAUUCCCAUGACCCGCCGGGCAGCAUCCGCGAAGCCAAAGUCUUUCACCUCUGCUGGUCAUUCCCUGUGUGUAUGAAUAUCCAGACUGAGAUCCAAGAUUACAUAUAUUGAUGGGCUAUGUGAAGGCAUUCUAAAGUGUACCUGUGACAAAAAUAACUGUAAUAAGUACAGUGACAAUGUUCACAAUACACAUUCAAACUGGUCAAUAGAAACUUCAUUACUGAAAACAUCUGAAUGUCAAUGUAGAACUGCAUUUUGGUGAUGUCUUCAUUAUCUGCACGUCCAUCCUUAUGUUCCCUUUUUCACUUCUUUUUUUAACUGUAACAUCUGGCAAAAAUUUGCUUGCAGGCUUUUUGUUUUACAAGCCCAGUUCUAUUUUGGAGACCUCAUUUGGCCUGGAGCUGGACCUUCUAAGUCAUUAUUCUCAUCCACGAAACCUCUCCCGCAUCCCUAAACACCCCAGCAGGCUAUAGCUCUGUCGGCACAUUACUCUAACACACCAAAAACCAACUGAGCACAUUGGCUGUGCAAAAAGUUUCAUUUUAAUGGGGGGGGGGGUGAGGUCAUGGGUUGUUGUGGGGUUUAACUUGAAGGACAUGUCCCCCUUGCCCACCCCUGACAGGUCAAGGUGGUGGUGGUCACAUGGGCAGGAUAAUGACCAACAGCAAGACCCACUGAGACUGCUGGUUCUCUUAAAGAGACAGUACACUGUUCAUUUCAAGCUUAAUCCAAGAGAAAAACAAAAUUGGGGUUAAAGGAAUGUAUCGUU